AACAAAUUUUCUACAGUUUCGUGUAAAAAAUAUAUAAAUUUGUGCUACAAUAAAUUUGAAAGUGCUGAAAAACUUUCUAACCAUAUACCCUAAAUUAUUCAGCCCAUUUGCAUAUGGAUAUUGAUACGUUAGCUAAAUCGAAAAUUUAUUACAGAUUGGUUAACUAUGACAUAUGGCUCCCCUAGGAGUAACAUGAUUUACAGUACAGUGUUCUACAAGAGAGUAUUCCAGCAUUGAAUGAGAAUGUCGCCCUCUCCACUCAGUUUGUUUGGUUUGCCUUUUGGAUUUUUUGCUACCUUAUGCGGCAAUCUGUCAACGGCGAAAAUGCAGCGAAUUUCAAUUGAAGGUUUCGCGAUAAAUUUUUGAUGUCGACGGAACUCGAGCCUCAGCACGGGCCAAAGAGGAAUAAACAAAUGGCAAAGCAGAAAAUCAGAAUUGAAAUUGCUCUUAAAUUGUUUGCGGCACACAGAAUUGAAAAGCAAUUUCGGUGCUUGGUCAGGAAUGCGAAGCUGGGGCUGUUCAGAACGUUCAUGCUUACAUCUACAUUUUUGAGUCCAGGCAAGCUAAUUGGCAAAAUCACGCCAUCAAAGUUGAGAGUCAAUGCGAAACAGGAGUAAGAGAAGCGGCAGCAAUAGCAAUAGCAGCAGCCACAGGCAGCCCUGAAAUUUAUUGUCCACAUAAUUCAAGCCAAAUUCAUUUUGUGGACCAGCACAGCAGGUUGCCAGCGCAAAGGAAGACAAACAAUUUUCGACAGCUCUAAGUAAAUUACCCUCCACGUGCAGACUGAGAACAAAAUAUACUACGUGUGCUCAUAGGGGAAAAAUACUGCCUUUCUACACACUUUAUAUGCCGAGACUGAGACUGCACAAGAGAAUUAUUUUGAAGACAAUUUCCUUAUCCACAUGUCGGUCAAUGUCAAUAGAACAUUAGCACAGAGACCGAGACACAAUGAAGCGAGAUAAACACAAAAUAUGCAAAGAGGAUGAAUGAAAAAAUUCAAGCAGAGCGAAAGAAAAACAAAAAGCGCUCGUUUGACUGAUGUAAACAAAUGUUUAACAAUAGCUUCUAAUGACUGUGAAUUGCUUCCAUAUUUAUUAUGAUUAAGUACUAGUUCCAACAGCGCUGAGUGUUCAAGAUACAUAAAUUACAGUCGUAUAUUCAAAUUUUACCUAUUCUCAAUCAAAGAAAAUCUGCAAAUGAUCGCUGCAAUUAUCGAAAUCUUUGAGAUCAUGUGAGCUCUCUAUGUAUAAUACUAAAUUGUAAAAUUUCAAUGUGUACCCAAAAAAAAACGUAUGUAUAAAAUUCACUACUCCUCAAUUCUUACUUGAUGAUUCAGCACCUUCUGCAAAUCUCUGACUUAUAAAGCUAAUUUCCAUUGAAAAACAAAAAUCGUAAUUAACAAUCACAAGUUUACAGCUGAGGGCUUCAAAAAAGUUUUUCUAGAUGAAAAUUAAAAUAUUUUUGGUGUAGUGAAAAAAAAAGAAAGAAAACAGAAAUGUAUGGCAUCUCAUGACGGUGACUCGUAUUAGAUGAGAAUGUUUAUGUAAAUUAAAUGGUUUUUUGUGCUUUAUUUGUAAGCCAAAAGAUAAAUGUAGCUCACCGAAUGGAAACGGAGAGCAAACUCAAACCCGAACAAAAUGCAUUAUUUAUAGCAUUUGUGGUCAGUGAGUGGACGAAUGGAAGGCGGUGGGCGUGGGUUCGUGCCUUUCUUUCCUUCGUUCUGGAGCAAUGAUUUUAUGAUAAAUGACGAAAAAGUUAAUCAUCAACUCGAAGUGUACUCGAGUCUGGAGUAGCUGUUCGACAAAGGGGCAACAGCCACAACGAGAGUAAAUCAGGAAAAACUUGUGGCCAAAUGAAAAAGUUGUUGCCUUUGUCCGAGCAGGUGGGAAAAACCCAUUCUUAACUAUUUAUAAGAAAAACAAGUCAUACUUCAGAAGCUGCUGACGUCAAUGAAUAGUAAAUGAUGUUGUACAGGUUAAAGAAAGUUUUGCUAAAAGUUGGUGUUAUUGAUUGAUAUUGUGGUUAAAAGAUUAAUGUGAAAGACUUUAACCUUAAUUCACUAUCAAAAUUAACUCUACUAUAAAUCGUGAGAACUCCAGCAUUGACAUUAGCAAACAAUUCAACAAAAUGACCAAGAGACAAGCGAAUCCAUUUAUCAAGGGGACGACCGAAUAGCUUCCAGCUUUUCCAAACUAAACUUGUGCAUAGUAACCAAAUCACAUAACAACAUUAUCCCAAGGCUCAAGAGCAGCUCAUCUUUCAGCCGGCUGCUCAGCAUUGGAUUACCUUUGCACAAGCACACACUGAGAAAGUGAAAGAAAUAUAAAGAGAGAGAGAUAGGCAUAAUCUGUUAGAUGGUAGAUGGUAGAUGGCAGAUGCCUGAGCAGUUUUCAUAGACUGAGAAACAUUGGAAACAGAGGCUUAGAUUACGCACGUAGCCGGCACAUUAUCCGCAUCAGCAGAUUGAGUGACUAUAACUGGAUGCUGGCUCCAUUUACCAUUUGCCAUGUUGCAUGUCAUCGAUUGACAACCUGUCAAUGCUUCAGCCUCAGUCUCUGUCUCAUUCUCAGUCUCGUUCUCAGCCUUGGCUUUGAUUUGACUUGGGACCUAGACUGGCAACACACGUUUUACCUCUUGCAUUUAUUUAAUUUCCUAUUUAUGCCACAUCAAUAUUGAAAACAAAAAACUGACUUCAUGACUGUGUGUCAGCUUGAUGGAAUGACAUUAUCCGCACUCUAGCCGUAUACAAAUGGAAAUUGUAAUUGAAUUUCGUUGAUUAUUCAUGCGAAUCGCCUGAUAUGAGUGCAUCUACUUAUUCAGUUGUGUCUAACAAAAAACAAUGUGUCCAAUAUUACAAAUAAAUGU